CGAUGAUACGCGAGGAACUUACCUGGGCUUAAAUGUAGAGUGCAUUUUUAGAGAUAGAAAUUCCCUUCGGGGCUUUCUGCAAGGUGCUGCAUGGUUGUCGUCAGCUCGUGCCGUGAGGUGUCGGGUUAAGUCCCAUAACGAGCGCAACCCUUAUCGUUAGUUGCCAUCUGGUAAUGCAGGGGACUCUAGCGAACUGCCACCGUAAGGUGAGAGGAAGGUGGGAUGACGUCAAAUCAGCACGGCCCUUAUGUCCAGGGCUACACACGUGUUACAAUGGUCGGUACAGAGGGCAGCUACCUGGUGACAGGAUGCUAAUCUCGAAAACCGGUCUCAGUUCGGAUCGAAGUCUGCAACUCGACUUCGUGAAGCUGGAUUCGCUAGUAAUCGCGCAUCAGCUAUGGCGCGGUGAAUACGUUCCCGGGCCUU
rnacentral:rRNA from 1 species